UAGCAUGUCAAUGGUUGUUUACUGGGGUGU
rnacentral:piRNA from 1 species